AACGUAGGAGACAAGCGUUAUCCGGAGUUACUGGGCGUAAAGGGCGUGUAGGCGGUAUGUUAAGUCUGGCGUGAAAGCUCUCGGCUAAACCGGGAGAGGUCGUUGGAUACUGGCAAGCUAGAGGAUGGUAGAGGCGUGUGGAAUUCCGGGUGUAGUGGUGAAAUGCGUAGAGAUCCGGAGGAACACCAGUGGCGAAGGCGACACGCUGGGCCAUACCUGACGCUAAAGCGCGACAGCAUGGGGAGCAAACGGG
rnacentral:rRNA from 1 species